rnacentral:lncRNA from 1 species
AUGGAAACCUAAUCUCUUCUCAAUCAAUUCCAAUCAUCUCUAAAAUAAUGAAUUUGUUCCCAUUAUCAAUUAUAAACCCUGGAUUGAUAAGCAGAUUCUUCACAUGGCUUCUCAAAACCAUUAUUUUGAUUCACGCCGCUGUGCUCUCCAACAAUUCCUUCAAUAGCGGCUACACGAGAGGAUCCUUGAUUCCAGUUAAAUCAAGCAAUGACGUUCAACGAGCCGUGAAUGGAACCAAGUAUCAGCUUCGUUAAAGCUCUCAGAUGUAGGAAAAUGCUGGAUUGGUGGUUGGAUAGCAUAAGAGGGAUGAGUUGAUCUACAGAAUGAUUAUGUUGUAGCGGAUGCUUUCGAUUUGGAGAAAAAAGGGUUGUGCACCGAAACAUGAGUUCAACAUUGAUGGGCUGGUUGAUGUUAUCUUAUAUUAAGAAACCAUAACGACAUCACACAGAAAGCCAAAGAGUUCAUCUAGGGUUCCGACGAACUUCCGGACAAGCUCCGGUGUAACACCGCGAAAACGGGUUUGGUAAUCACACUCCGUUAAUACUAAAAGACGGGUAAAGUACCGUUACUAGUAAAAAAAAUAACCCGGUAAAUAUUUGGAUUUAAAUAAGAAAUCCUAAGGUUAAAUACAAACGAAUCAAAGUUUUAAGGAAUUAAGUUUAUAAGAGCCCGAGUUAACGGGACUUAAAAUGAAACGGGUUAUGAACAAGAUAAAAAUAACUAGGAAAUAAAUAACCUAGUUAAUUACAAGUCUUGUAGUAAUAAAGAAAUUGGUUAAAACACACUAUAUGCAACUUGGGGAAAGUAGAGGGGCCGAAAGUGAUAAACUAGAAACUAGUUUGUAAUAAAUAAAAUAUCAAACACCAAAACACACACCUUGAGUGUGUGUUCUGGUCGAAACUUUUAACAGGAGCCAAAGAACUCCCUUGUUCAAACCCUAACUAGCAUAAAUUCAAGCAAAAUUGGAAGGGCAAAUCACACCCAAAUUGAAAUCCAAGCACGGAUUAGUAAUCACCUCAGUGAAGUGAUCAUAAGGUAUGUCAAAUUUCACUACUUUGUUCCAUCUCAAAUCCUUGAUGAACCCUAGUAACUCGAAAUUUGAUCUUGAAUGAUGGAUAUUUGGGUGGAAAUAGGAUGUAUGCAUGAUUAGAAACAAACCCUAGUUAAUAAACUAAGGAAUUUGAGUGCAUGUUAAUAAAACUCAUGAUCUCUAACUAGGUGUUUAAUGGGUUUUGUAGAAACAUGAUGAACACUAGAAUCAUGAUUAUUAAACUAGUGUAAUUUGAACUCUAUGAAGUUAAUUUUGACAUUGAACCAUGAACUAGGUGAUUAUUUAGUAAAAGAUGAUGAAAUUGGCAAGAUAUGUAGUCAUGGAAUUUGAUUGUUAAUUUUAUAAAAGUAUGCUCACUAGGUGUUUGAUAUAAUGCCUAAGAGAAAGCCAAAUGUUGAAAUUUCGAAUGAAACGCACAUUUGAAUGAUAUGGCAAUUACACGUAAUAUGAAGUAAUAAGGGUUCUAAAUAUUAUGUUGAUUUAGACUUAAUGUUGUAACCCAUGUGAUCAAAAAGUAGUUAACUUUAGAUAAGCUAAGUUAACUAAUCAUGAAGUCGAAUAGUAGCUUCGGCAUAGAAUAUAAGUGAGGUGGAAUAGUCGUGAUUUUUAUGACUAAUUUAACCGCCUUGUAAAUGAUUGAAAAUAGUUUGACGCCUAACGAGCUAGAUGGAGGCUUGGGAAAGGAAGCGGGUCAAACAAAUCAAGAAUGGAGGUAAAGCAUAAUUCGGAUGCAAGGUGAUCGACAAGAGUGCCCGGAUGAAGAUUAAGCUCGAAGAAGAACCGAACACGAUAAAGUUAAAAGCUUCCGCACGGCGUUUUGUCCUAUCUCUUAGACGACGAACUCAAAUUCAUUACGAUGGUGUCACAAGUUGGUAAUCAGAGCUCAUGGUUAAAGAAUAAAGUGUGUUCGGUUCGAGGCUUGAUCGCAAAUCCGUUGAAGGACACUCGCAUAUAAAGAUAGCGGGAGUCUAACAAAUCGCGGACUUGACGGAGGAACGGUCCAAAGUACGACAAGUAGAAAAUGCUCAU